rnacentral:rRNA from 1 species
UGGGGGAUAUUGCACAAUGGGCGAAAGCCUGAUGCAGCGACGCCGCGUGGGGGAUGACGGCUUUCGGGUUGUAAACCUCUUUCGCUAUCGAACAAGGCCCGCUUAGGGUGGGUUGAGGGUAGGUGGAGAAGAAGCGCCGGCUAACUACGUGCCAGCAGCCGCGGUAAUACGUAGGGCGCGAGCGUUGUCCGGAAUUAUUGGGCGUAAAGGGCUUGUAGGCGGCUUGUUGCGCCUGCUGUGAAAACGCGGGGCUUAACUUCGCGCGUGCAGUGGGUACGGGCAGGCUUGAGUGUGGUAGGGGUGACUGGAAUUCCAGGUGUAGCGGUGGAAUGCGCAGAUAUCUGGAGGAACACCGAUGGCGAAGGCAGGUCACUGGGCCAUUACUGACGCUGAGGAGCGAAAGCAUGGGUAGCGAACAGG